rnacentral:rRNA from 1 species
GUGCAGCAGGCGAGAAUAGUCUACAAUGGACGAAAGUCUGAUAGUGCGACGCCGUGUGUGCGAUUAAUUCCUUCGGGAUGUAAAGCACUUUUCUAUGAGAUAAAAGCUCUUUAGGUUAAUAGCUUAUUGAGACGGAUGUUAUUAUAGGAAUAAGCUCCGGCUAACUCCGUGCCAGCAGCCGCGGUAAUACGGAAGGAGCGAGCGUUGUCCGGAUUUACUAGGCGUAAAGGGCUAGUAGGCGACUAAUUAAGUUAUAUGUUAAAUCCCACGGCUCAACUGUGGUCCUGCAUGUAAUACUGGUUAGAUAGAGUACCGUAGAGGAAGGCAGAAUUCCUGGAGUAGCGGUGGAAUGCGCAGAUAUCAGGAAGAAUACCGAAAGCGAAGGCAGCCUUCUGGGCAGUUACUGACGCUGAAUAGCGAAGGUGUGGGUAGCGAACAGGAUUAGAUACCCGCGUAGU